GUAACACGUGGGUAACCUGCCUGUAAGACUGGGAUAACUCCGGGAAACCGGAGCUAAUACCGGAUAGUUCCUUGAACCGCAUGGUUCAAGGAUGAAAGACGGUUUCGGCUGUCACUUACAGAUGGACCCGCGGCGCAUUAGCUAGUUGGUGGGGUAAUGGCUCACCAAGGCGACGAUGCGUAGCCGACCUGAGAGGGUGAUCGGCCACACUGGGACUGAGACACGGCCCAGACUCCUACGGGAGGCAGCAGUAGGGAAUCUUCCGCAAUGGACGAAAGUCUGACGGAGCAACGCCGCGUGAGUGAUGAAGGUUUUCGGAUCGUAAAGCUCUGUUGUUAGGGAAGAACAAGUGCGAGAGUAACUGCUCGCACCUUGACGGUACCUAACCAGAAAGCCACGGCUAACUACGUGCCAGCAGCCGCGGUAAUACGUAGGUGGCAAGCGUUGUCCGGAAUUAUUGGGCGUAAAGGGCUCGCAGGCGGUUUCUUAAGUCUGAUGUGAAAGCCCCCGGCUCAACCGGGGAGGGUCAUUGGAAACUGGGAAACUUGAGUGCAGAAGAGGAGAGUGGAAUUUCCACGUGUAGCGGUGAAAUGCGUAGAGAUGUGGAGGAACACCAGUGGCGAAGGCGACUCUCUGGUCUGUAACUGACGCUGAGGAGCGAAAGCGUGGGGAGCGAACAGGAUUAGAUACCCUGGUAGUCCACGCCGUAAACGAUGAGUGCUAAGUGUUAGGGGGUUUCCGCCCCUUAGUGCUGCAGCUAACGCAUUAAGCACUCCGCCUGGGGAGUACGGUCGCAAGACUGAAACUCAAAGGAAUUGACGGGGGCCCGCACAAGCGGUGGAGCAUGUGGUUUAAUUCGAAGCAACGCGAAGAACCUUACCAGGUCUUGACAUCCUCUGACAACCCUAGAGAUAGGGCUUUCCCUUCGGGGACAGAGUGACAGGUGGUGCAUGGUUGUCGUCAGCUCGUGUCGUGAGAUGUUGGGUUAAGUCCCGCAACGAGCGCAACCCUUGAUCUUAGUUGCCAGCAUUCAGUUGGGCACUCUAAGGUGACUGCCGGUGACAAACCGGAGGAAGGUGGGGAUGACGUCAAAUCAUCAUGCCCCUUAUGACCUGGGCUACACACGUGCUACAAUGGACAGAACAAAGGGCUGCAAGACCGCAAGGUUUAGCCAAUCCCAUAAAUCUGUUCUCAGUUCGGAUCGCAGUCUGCAACUCGACUGCGUGAAGCUGGAAUCGCUAGUAAUCGCGGAUCAGCAUGCCGCGGUGAAUACGUUCCCGGGCCUUGUACACACCGCCCGUCACACCACGAGAGUUUGCAACACCCGAAGUCGGUGAGGUAA
rnacentral:rRNA from 1 species